rnacentral:rRNA from 1 species
ACAAACCGGAGGAAGGUGGGGAUGACGUCAAGUCAUCAUGGCCCUUAUGAGUAGGGCUACACACGUGUUUACAAUGGCGUAUACAAAGAGAAGCGACCUCGCGAGAGCAAGCGGACCUCAUAAAGUACGUCGUAGUCCGAUUGGAGUCUGCAACUCGACUCCAUGAAGUCGGAAUCGCUAGUAAUCGUAGAUCAGAAUGCCACGGUGAAUACGUUCCCGGGCCUUGUACACACCACCCGUCACACCAUGGGAGUGGGUUGCAAAAGAAGUAGGUAGCUUAACCUUCGGGAGCGCGCUUACCAACUUUGGAUUCAAAUGG